CUGUAGUUUGAGGAAAAUAAUAAUUUUAAAAAGAAGGGAGGGCAAGGGAAACAGAGGGAUGAAGGAGGAAACGGGGCAUUCUCUCUGACAAAGGAGAUAAUAUGACAAGGAAUAUUGGACUGACUUCUCUUCCCCUGAAAACGAAAGAAUCAC
rnacentral:lncRNA from 1 species